AUUGAACGCUGGCGGCAGGCCUAACACAUGCAAGUCGAGCGGAUGACGGGAGCUUGCUCCUUGAUUCAGCGGCGGACGGGUGAGUAAUGCCCAGGAAUCUGCCUGGUAGUGGGGGACAACGUUUCGAAAGGAACGCUAAUACCGCAUACGUCCUACGGGAGAAAGCAGGGGACCUUCGGGCCUUGCGCUAUCAGAUGAGCCUAGGUCGGAUUAGCUAGUUGGUGAGGUAAUGGCUCACAAAGGCGACGAUCCGUAACUGGUCUGAGAGGAUGAUCAGUCACACUGGAACUGAGACACGGUCCAGACUCCUACGGGAGGCAGCAGUGGGGAAUAUUGGACAAUGGGCGAAAGCCUGAUCCAGCCAUGCCGCGUGUGUGAAGAAGGUCUUCGGAUUGUAAAGCACUUUAAGUUGGGAGGAAGGGCAGUAAGCUAAUACCUUGCUGUUUUGACGUUACCGACAGAAUAAGCACCGGCUAACUCUGUGCCAGCCGCCGCCGUAA
rnacentral:rRNA from 1 species